CCCAGGCGCUGGUGCGGAGAGGGCCCACGGUGUACCUGGUGGCACUGCAUGCCCUCGCCGCUCAGCUCCUGGG
rnacentral:pre_miRNA from 14 species